GAGAGAGACAGCCACAGAGAGAGAGAGAGAGAGAGAGAGAGAGAGAAGGAGAAGGGGUAAGAGGCUAGUGGUCAACAGUUUGCCAGUGUUAAGUGACCCUCAUGAUGGGAGAGCCCAGCAGCACCCGUGGACACACUCCUGUUGAUGUCAACACCAGGGUGCCCUCGCUGGAUAUGAGCGUGGAUGGAGGAGCUGCACUGCUGCCUGGCUGCUUGAUCUUCUGGCUGUUGGCAUAGGACCACACCACUACGGGGGCCUUUUAGUGUGAGGCCACUUCACCAGGAAACUGGGCAUGAAAAGUGAGUGUCAACAGUGCCAGACUCACAGGUGGAGGUCCAUGGCAGAGAGCAGUAAGGACCCUGCUGGGGGGGAGGCAGGCGGAGGGGAUGGACGGACGGUUGGACAUGGCUCCUGUGGGUGUUUCUCUGGCAGUGUCUUAGCUGGUUGUUGUGAGGAGUGAGAACGAAGCAAUCAGCAAGUAUACUGCCGCAGAAAUUCUUCGCAAUAAGAGGCCCUGGGUUGACAAAAAAAAAAAAAAAACAAGACAAAAGAGAAGAGUCAGCACUGAAUCAAACGUGGCUCCUGCUGCUACUGUAAGUUCUUACAUGUGUGCUGAUGCUGUAGAAAUUCACGUGAGCCGAGGAGCUGAUACAGAAAAUAAAUGUACCGAGAGCAUGGCCUUAUGGUAAAACAGCCUCUACAGUAUUUACAGUUGCAUCAAACUGCUACACUGUACUUGUCUUGUUGUACUUGUACGAUCCUCUGCUGCCAUCUGGUGAUUGAAAGACAUCUCAAGGCAGGUUUGUGUUCACUGCAGCAUUUUGUUGAACACUUUGUUCAUUUCUAAAAAGAUUUGAAACAUUUCUAUAAUUUAUCUUAUACAAUCAACACAGAAUUUAUUUCCAGAACAUAAAAAAUCAUUAUUUUUGAUUUGCAAAUGCAUGAUGUUUUUGGCACCUUUAUUUUAAUUAUCAUACAACAGUUUAAUUGUUGAUUCACACUUUAUAGGUUGCAACUUAAUCAUGUAUGUGUCUAAUGAAUUAUAAAUGUAAAGAAGCAGCAAAUAAAAGUUACACAAAGAGUGA